ensembl:processed_transcript
CAGACGCAGAUUUAGAUUCUCUCUCUACAUUAAGUUGUAUUGAACUGGAAAAUAAGAGAUUUUUUGAUUUAAUGUUGAAUUAUAUGUGUCUAAAGACAAUAUAGAAGGAAGUGAUGCUAGAAGAAACCGUUUAUGUGAGUUAAAUAUAGUUUAAUUAGUUAAUGAUCGUGACGGAGCUGAUUACAAGCAGCCUGGUUAAUGUGUAACUAGCUCCAUUAGGAGAUCGUCUGAAAGGAAACGCGAUUAAAGUUAAAUGCUGAAAAAGAGAAUAAGCAAAAGGAUUGAGUGAAGAAUUUCUUCGCAUUAAAAAGAUUAAAAGUUCAUCUGGUUUUGGUCAGGUUUUUUUUGUUGUUGUUUGUUUGUUUUAUUUUUCCUCCUUUACCUGGAUUGGUGCCAUCGUUGUGCUCCUGUGUGAUCUGUUGAUUUGAUGCUGGAUUGGGAUUGGAGCUUAUUGGAUUCUGGAUUCGUUCUAACUCCUGUGUUCGCUAAAGGGGUUGGGACUGGCGAGCCAUACGAACCGAACUUCAAAUUGUCAUUGUGUGAAACUGAUACU